rnacentral:rRNA from 1 species
AGAGUUUGAUCAUGGCUCAGGAUGAACGCUAGCUACAGGCUUAACACAUGCAAGUCGAGGGGAAACGACAUCGAAAGCUUGCUUUUGAUGGGCGUCGACCGGCGCACGGGUGAGUAACGCGUAUCCAACCUGCCCACCACUUGGGGAUAACCUUGCGAAAGUAAGACUAAUACCCAAUGAUAUCUCUAGAAGACAUCUGAAAGAGAUUAAAGAUUUAUCGGUGAUGGAUGGGGAUGCGCCUGAUUAGCUUGUUGCGGGGUAACGGCCACCAAGGCGACGAUCAGUAAGGGUUCUGAGAGGAAGGUCCCCACAUUGGAACUGAGACACGGUCCAAACUCCUACGGGAGCGA